AAACGACAACGUCAUUUAGAGACGCCUGCCGUGGAGGCAGCGGAAGUGACGUAGCACGUUGAGCACCAAGAGAGAGGCUUUCCCUCCCAGGAACCCAGACCCCCACAUGGGGAGGGCGUGGCUGCAGCUGGGGCCAUGGUUUCGGAAAUGGGAGGAGAGAUGGGAAGGACGGACGCAGGUUUUCUGAGCCUCUCUACCUAGAGCCUGCCAGGAUAAACCCAAGUUGGGGCCAACAUGUCCAGAACCUCUGCCACGUACAUCGUUCUCCUUAACACCAGUGUGUAGCCAGUAUCAUAAAGGCAAGUACACAGUUCGGAAUCAGUUACUUGCCCUACUGAUCUGUGAAGCUCAGAUUUUUGACUGUACUGUAAUAAAAUAAGAGGUUUUAUAUGUUCAUGACACGUUACGGUAAACGGAGGUGUGGAGACUUCGAAGCAGUCUGGUCCCGGGAGAAAGAAACCUGACCAGUGUUCACGUUAACUGUUCCUCUCUCCCAUGCUCAUUCAGCUCUUAGCUCAAACUCAAGAGACGCCUUCUUCCUUGACCACCCUAGCUAUGAUAGGCCUGGUCAUUCUCUACCCCGCUGUCCUAUAUACUUUUCUUCAAAAUGCUUAUCACUAUUUGAGAUUGUGGUGGGUAUUUUUUUUCCUGUUUUCUGUCCUAGAAUAGAAAAUAAGCAUCAUGAUGCUGGAAUCUUGUCUGUUUCGAACAUGGCUGUAUAAAGAGGUUAAAACAAUGCCUGGCACCAAAAAAAAUUGAAUGGAACGUGUAGUGGUUUGCUUUCAUGUUAAUCUGAGUCGCUUAUUUAUAUUACCGCAAAAUAACGAUCUCGGGAGAAUUUAGUAUGUCCUUAAUUUUUUAAAAAUCAAGUAUUUUAUACUAAUUAAGUAUAACCAAAUAAAUUAUCCUAAGAAUGGUAAGCAAAUUUAACUUCCUAUAACAAACAUAACUUAAAACAUUCAGUGGACAAACAUUAAAAAAUGAUGUCCCAUAAAUCAUAGGCUCAGUAUUACUAAAAAAUCCGAGUAUUACUGGAAUGUUAUUUUCCCUUUCUUGAAAUAAAUUUUAAUAGAAAUUCAACUUGAUGAAGUAAAAAUACAUAAAAGCUUACCUCUUAAUUUAUGGUAACUAUGCAAACAUUCAUUAACAUUUACAGAUAAUUCUUUCUGAACAAAACUAAUCUCAUAUUUUGGAUUCUUAAAAUGGCUCUGGUUUUAACUGUCAUUUUAGGCAAGCCUGAUCAAAACUUCUGUUUUAAUUUGUGUGAUAGGAUUAUUUUUGUUUGCCUGUAUUUUCUAAUCAUUUUUAGAAGAAAAUAUGUCCCUUUUGUGAUAAGAAACUUUUAAAAAAAUACAUUUUGUGCAGAGUUCUCAAUUUCUGUAAUAGCCUGCAUGAGGUGUAAAAUACAAAUGUUGGUUGCAUAGUAAAAUUUAAUUAUAUUUUCUACUCUUUUUCCUGGUAUAGUUGGAGUGUAACUUGACUUAGAUACCACUAAUUUUUAUAAACCGCCAGUACACUUGAUUUGCCAAAUAAGUUUGAAGAACAAAAUAUCAUUCUGUGUGUUAUGUUGUUUAACCCACACAAUGCUGUAUCACAUAAUAAAGCCUCAACAGACUUGGAUUAAAAUAA